rnacentral:rRNA from 1 species
AUUGAACGCUGGCGGCAGGCCUAACACAUGCAAGUCGAACGAGUGGCGGACGGGUGAGUAAUGUCUGGGAAACUGGCUGAUGGAGGGGGAUAACUAAUGGAAACGGUAGCUAAUACCGCCUACCAUCGGAUGUGCCCAGACGGGAUUAGCUAGUAGGGGGGGUAAUGGCUAACAUAGGGGUCGAUCCCUAGCUGGUCUGAGAGGAGGACCGGCCACACUGGAACGGAGAAACGGUCCAGACUCGUACGGGAGGCAGCAGUGGGGAAUAUUGCACAAUGGGCGCAAGCCUGAUGCAGCCAUGCCGCGUGUGUGAAGAAGGCCUUCGGGUGGUAAAGCACUUUCAGCGAGGAGGCGUUACUCGCAGAAGAAGCACCGGCUAACUACGUGCCAGCAGCCGCGGUAAUUC